UCCCUGGAGGACUAGUGGUUAGGCCACAGCACUCACACCGCUAGGCCCGGGUUCAUUACCCAGCCAGGGAA
rnacentral:tRNA from 1 species